GUCUCCGGCCAUGCCACCCUGAACAAGCCGGAUCCCGUCUGAUCUCGGAAGCUAAGCAGGGUCGGGCCUGGUUAGUACUUGGAUGGGAGACCACCUAGGAAGACCAGGUGCUGUAGGCA
rnacentral:rRNA from 1 species